GGGGUUGUACUGGUUUCGACAGGGAUUUAGAAAUCCCGGCAGCCAUCCGUGGUCCGUGAUCCACGUUAAAAGUGCGGAAAAAAAUAAACGCUGAAGAGAAAGAUAUUAACUUCGCAAUUGCUGCCUAAGUGCAGCUUGUCGGCCUGAGAGUCAUCCGAUGCUCACAGUGUCCGGCAUCGACGCAGUCGGAGAACGUUCCUCCCAAAGCUUUGAGGGUCGAAACGAAUCAUGAAGCUACUGAACUCUUAAGUCUGUCUUUGGACGUGAGGGAGAGGGAAUGAAAAAUCAAAGACUGUGAUGGAAGAUACCGGUAUGGAAGAGUCUUUGGACGCGGGUUCGAUUCCCGCCAGCUCCA
rnacentral:tmRNA from 1 species